AUCUUCGUGCAUGCACACAUGCAAUGUUUUACAAAGCAUCUGUUGAGUGUCUACGGCACAACACACACGUUCUGGUGCUGGAGAUCCUGCCCUGGCUGAGCUUCUGGACCUGGUGGGGAGAAAUCCACAAUGAGUACUGAGACGACCGGCAAAAGCCCGGUGAAGGCACCUAGGAGUAGGGCCUGCUUACCCUGGAGGAGUCGGGAGCAGCUUCCACAGCAAGGAGGCUUCUAAGAUUUUUUGUUCUUUGUCAGCAUGAGUACCUGGGAUCUUACAUGUAGCCCCUGCAUCAUUUCAGAAAUGAUCUCCAGUGCCCAGGCUCUGAUGCCCAACAGACCUGAAGUUACAUCCCAACCUGAACAGGCGGCUUUUGCUCUCCAGGCCUUCAUUGCCCCACAGUGGGAACAAUAAUAAUAUGCACCUUCUAGGUACCCAAAAGCACAAGAGACAGUGAACGGAAAGUGCUUGGAAGCCCCGUGCCCAGGUGGUGCUGGCCCCAGCUGAACUGCGGGGAUAGAUGUUGAGUGUCCAGGUUCUAGCAUCAUAGAACAGAAUCCGGCCUGUUGGGAAAUCCUGCCUACAAGUAUACCUCCAUUAAUUAGUGUCUUCUGUGAACAUUUUUAUUAAAAAAAGAAGAAAAGCUUCUCAACCCAA
rnacentral:lncRNA from 1 species